UGAGCAAUCUGCCCUUCUCUUCGGAAUAAGCGUUGGAAACGACGUCUAAUGCCGAAUACGACCUCCUUUCGCAUGAUCGGAGGUGGAAAGCUCCGGCGGAGAAGGAUGAGCUCGCGGCCUAUCAGCUAGUUGGUGUGGGUAAUGGCCCACCAAGGCGACGACGGGUAGCCGGCCUGAGAGGGUGACCGGCCACACGUGGGACUGAGACACGGCCCAGACCUCCGUACGGGGAGNAGCG
rnacentral:rRNA from 1 species